rnacentral:rRNA from 1 species
AUUGAACGCUGGCGGCAGGCCUAACACAUGCAAGUCGAACGAGUGGCGGACGGGUGAGUUAUGUCUGGGACACUGCCUGAUGGAGGGGGAUAACUACUGGAAACGGUAUCUAAUACCGCAUACCAUCGGAUGUGCCCAGAUGGGAAUAGCUAGUAGGGGGGGUAAAGGCGCACCUAGGCGACGAUCCCUAGCUGGUCUGAGAGGAUGACCAGCCACACUGGGACUGAGACACGGGCCAGACUCCUACGGGAGGCAGCAGUGGGGAAUAUUGCACAAUGGGCGCAAGCCUGAUGCAGCCAUGCCGCGUGUAUGAAGAAGGCCGUCGGGUUGUAAAGUACUUUCAGCGGGGAGGCGUUACCGACAGAAGAAGCACCGGCUAACUCCGUGCCAGCAGCCGCGGUAAUUC